CUUUUUUUCUGUUUUUCAGGGUCCACUCAGUGUCAUCUGAUGAUAACAGAUUUGGGAUAGUGCUUGGAAAGGCAUUGAAGGGGCUUUUGCUCAUGGCCGUGACAGUAGUGCAGAUUGCACAGCUGCCAUGCAGAGGCUGGUGUUGAUUUUCCUACUCUGAAUAAAAUGUAAGGGAAUUCUGGUUCACCCACUGCAGACUCCCUUGGGAUGGAAGAUUGUUUCCAUGUCAGUUUUGGGAAGUAUCACAGCUCCUGGUGAGCUCAGCUGCAUGCACUGGUAAUGCUGCAGCAGGGGCUGGCUGGCCAUCACUGCUCAAGCACUGCAUUUGGUUGAAAUAAUUCCCUGGAAGGACAAACUCAGGGCCAUAACUGAGCUUGGCACAGUGAGAUACCUGGUCCUUUUGCAUAAUGCUGCUUGAUUAUUGUUUCUGAACUGUAGCCUUGAACUAUGCUUUCCUCUUCCAUUUGCCUCUUAACUUGCUGCUUGUGAGACUGGAUGAGAGAGAGCACAGGCGCUCCCUUCUUAGGAGGUACAAUUUCUGCAGCUGCUUCUACUUCUGUCCUAGAAGCUUUGAGGAAAACAAUGUAGAAAGUCUCCUUGUGAUAGCUGUGUGUAAUUUGUGCUACUGCCUCAGGAGUUCAUUUGACAAGCUCAGCCUUUGCUGCAGCAGAGGCUCCAUCUCACAAACCCAAGCAUGUCCAUAUGCUUACAUGUAGAUCUGACACACUGCAAUGUUCCUGCAAUUAACUUCACUGUUAAGAUAAAGCAAGUUAGUACCCUUUAAUUUGGUAUAUCUGACUUUGACUAUUAUCAAAAAUUUAGUGUGUUAGUAAAUAAUAAAGUAGCUUUGUUUUCUUCCCAGCUCCACAGAAUGAAGAGAUGGGGAGAGGGUGAGGGGAAACAAGAGCAUUAAUUUUUAAUCUCUUUUUUUUUUUGUCCAGCCUGAUGGGGAACAGAAAGGGAUGAAUCCAGGGAGCUCAGUCAAGAAACAAUGCUUUUCCUGCAUAUUUUUAUGCAUGCUUCUCCUGCACUGGGUAUGAGGAACAUACAUAGUGCUGAGGCUGGGGAUCUGGCUGAGACAGGCAGCAGGGCUUCCACUUGCACUUUGCAGCAGAAAGUCCCCAUUUUCCAGACUUGCCUCUUGCUCUUUAACACAUCCAAGUUCAAACAACCUCAACCAGGCUUAGCAAAAGGAGAGUGAGUUACAUCUUGUUCCAGGGGUGAAAAAUGAUUUUUCCUAUGUUCUUCUGGCCCUGACUGUGGCCAGUCAGAAAAGCCAGUGUCCCUCUGUGAGUUCUGCCACAGCUGCUGUCUGAAGGCCAUAUCUAUGACUCUGAUUUUUGCUGGGCUUUAUCUGCUUUGACCACCUUUGAAUCAGUCUGUGCAAGUAGUAUAAAGAGUAAACAGGGAUAUUAUACAUUGAUUUUUAUAUCAAAUCCAGUACUACCUCAAGUAGAGAAGGCUUUUUAUUAUUAUGAAACUGUAAUUUUGAAAUAACCUAUUGGGCUGGUGUUGAAAUUCGGUUGGUAUUGGUCUGAAUCCUGACAUCUGGUCAUAGAGAGGUGGGUCAUGGAUGCUGAUGCCCAGAGCCUGAGAGAAGUGUUUCACCACGUGGGACAGGGAACCCGAAUCUUGCUGUUAGUGCUGUGCUUGGAGCAGGCAGCUCGUAGAGGUAGGGCUUGAGCAUAUUCAUUGCUUUCAUGUGGCCAUGAUCCAUAUCCAUGAGUUCCAUAUCCAAGUUAGCAGUGGUGAGUUCUCCUGUAUGGGUCCUCUCGGGGCUUUGCUGUAUGAGACUGACAUAGGAAGCAGGCACAUGCUGCCAUGUGGGGAAGUCCUGAAUCUGUGCCUACCACCAGCAUGGUUAAAAGAAGAGCCAGUAAAUAAAUAUAUAUUUUAUUAAGAAAAAAGGCUGGGUGAGGUCAGCGCAGUGGCAGCCCUGGUGCAGCUUCCUGCUUUGUGCAGGCACUGCAGUCUGUGAAACUGGGCUUUUUAUCCUCUCUUAGAAGUUAUUUUGGCUCUGCUAGAAAACAGGUCUUUUAAAGAAGAAACGAAAAGAGUGAAGGAGCAACCGUGAGAAUGAUAAUGAGUUUCAUAUUCCACAAAGAUCAAAGUCUGAUAGACUUAAAAAAACCAUCAGGUACCGGAACAUUUCAGGUAUUUAAAGAUGAUGCAGCUGUAGUUCUGUUUGGAGACAGUCUAAUUUCUUUGUAACCAAAACAUCAGCUCCUGUUUGAAGCAUUUUGUCCAAAGUAUAAAGAUGUUUCCCACUCUGGCAAUUUCCCAUAAGCUGCUGUUUGAAUUGCUCAGUAGCAAUACACUGUGCACUGCUGCUCGCUUUUCAGUUUGUACGAGCGGGCAUCUGCAUUUCCUUCUGCCCACUGCCUCUACAAAUUGCUUUCCCUGUAAAUCAAAGUGAAAUCUGAGCAGCGAUUUUUCUGAUUCUGUUUACAGCCCUGAGGUUUGUGGCCCUUUCUGGAUGUCACACUUGCAAUGUCUUUCCCAUGAAGAAUGCAGAAGUGCUUGUCUAUAGCCACAGGGAGCUGCCAACAAUAUGUGCGCAUAUAUAGAUAUGUGUAUAUGUAUAUUCACACAUAUAUUCCCUCUCCUAUUGGUAAAAAUAAAGAAGAGGUGUACUGCAAGGCUCUAAAAGUAGCCUAAUUUGUAAUUUCCAUAGUUACUUAGUCUUCCUUGUUAUUUCUUUAUGCACUAAUCUGAGCUUGGUAGAAAUUAGAUAAGUCUUUAGAUGAUUUCAGCAAGUUUUAGAUUAUUUCUUCAAAGCAAGAUUUCCUGAAGAGCUGCAGGAUAACCAUUUGUUGUACAGUUAUGGGUGAGGUCAAGCAGAGAAAAUGUAGUGAAGAGAGCACAAGGCAUGGGGCAGAAGGAUGGGGAAAGAGGGAUCCCUGUGGUGUCGUUUACAGAAAUAGGAAAGUAGAUGUCAGUGCUCCACCUGUAAACAUGAUCCAAUCUGAGUGUAUAGGUUAGACAGUAUUUAAUUAGCAGUUGGAAGUGCAUGAAGGACAGAGGCUCUGGGAAAAACCUCCCAGGAAAAGCUUAUUCCUUUUUUCUUCAGUGGAGCGAUUUAUGAGUUGUUGAACCUGUUCCUUUGUGAUGCUUCACAGUUUGUGCGGUUUUAUUGAUUAAAACAAGCUGAUAAAAAUUUAUGCUUGCUUAGUGGAUGGUCCAGACCCUUUCACUUACAGAUAUCAAGGUAAAAUGUAGGGGGAACAGUAUGUGUCUGAGCUUCAGGGAGAGCUAAGAAUACAGCAUACCCAUGCAGCACAAAUCCUGAUUUGUUCUUUCUUGGAAGGAAGUUCUCAGUUCAACAGGUAAUAUUUACUUAUUUUUUUCUAAAAGUAAAAAUACAUUUUUAAUUGCAACCAAUCUAGUUUGAUUGCUUUUAUUUUAGAGCUUCUGAUGAUGAAUCUUGCUGAGAUAAUUGGCUUGAAUAAACUGCCCCUACCUACCUAAAUAAAAGAUGGAAAAAUUGGAUCUAUUCUAAACAUCUGGCUCUUAGGCAGUAGGAAAGCUUCAAGUGAUCCUGAGGCUGAAGUCUAAGAUUAGUACUCAACAUCAGAACUUAUUAGUGCUCUUUUUAUUUUACUAUAGCAAAAUAUGCUAGGGAGGUUUUCACCCUUAUAGUGAUCGGCAGUGCUGUAAAUACAGCCAUCAUCCCCAUUGAGCAAUGAGUAAAGUCUAGAAUAAGUUCUGAAUAUUGUGCAAUUGCCCUCCUCUUCCUAAACUGUUGAUAAUGUGUGUGGGAGACUUGCUGAGGACAAAUACUGCUUAGAGUUUUAGUCUACGAUGACUUGCUGCUGAAGGUUUUAAUUUUGUGGGGGUGUAUUUAUAAGAUUUAAGACCAUUUCUGGAAAUCUAAUCACAGUGCACUAAUACAAUUUUAUUUUACUUUAAAGUUUGAAGGGCUGUCAAGGCAUUUGCAGACUUUUCUCCUUUGCAUAGAAAUUAAUUUACUGUUCCUGACUGAACUGAAGAUGACCACUUCCAGAGAGCCCAAUUCAUGUAACAGUCCUCAUCUCCGUGUGAACAAACAGCUCCAGGUAUUUUCUAAGCAUGUGAAGUACAACUGCUGUUGUGCAAAUGGGAAAUGAGCAGAGGUAUGGCAGCAGAAGCCUCUGUACUCCUGGGCUUGCAGCAUCACCAUGAAGCCACUGGAUGGUCACAACAUGAGGAUGUCCACCCCAGCAACAGGUAUGGCUGCAUCUGGCCUGUCAGCACAGGGGGACACCUGAGAGCAGAGGCUCUCAGGACUGGUGCACCAGGAGGGUAUUUCAGCAGGAUGGCAGUGCAGUUAGGUGGUUGGAAUCUGUCCUUAAAGUUUCUGCUUUGAUGGAUGCUGACCUUAGAGAGAGGGAUUGAGCUGUUGGAUACACAUGGUUCCGGCUCCUUUGCUUCUUUUAUUUUUUUUAACCCAAAUGGGUAAAAUGCUGGUGCCUCUUACAGGACUGAGGUAGCCAGUGUUUGUACACUAUUCAGGCAUACCUUUGAACAGGGGCUGUGAAGCAGGGCUUGAAGCUCACUCUUUUAGUCCCAUUCAAAAUCUGUCUAUUCCUCUCGGUUCUGUGUCAGUCACUUGCAUUCAAUUUGUGCCUCAAAGACCAAAUUGCUGAGUGAAGGGCUGGAGAGCCUGGCUUAGACAGUCAUAUGUGUCUGUGACUAAGCUGCGUGCGAAGAACUGAAAUAAAUGAUUUUUUAAUUUGAUGUUCUUCCUGUUUGAAUUCUGAGAAUCAUUUUCCUCUUUAUUCACCUUUGGUUUUUUUUGUGUCCUUUCAGAGACCAGAUGAAUAAAGAGCUGUGGCAAAUAUUGAAGGUUUAGAAUUCAGAAGGUGGUUCAUAAAAGUAUCUCUCUGAGUUUAUAAAUUGUAUUGUACAUGUGAAAGAUUUUGGUCUAAUGACUUGAAACAAAUGGAAGUCUGAGGUGUUUUUCAAGGAGUGUUCGUUUUCUCUGUGAACAACAAAAUAGCUGAACACAGUACUGUUGCUUUCGGCAGCAGCUAAAUACACUGAAAGGAGAACAAUUGAUUGAGAACCCCACAUGUUCCAUGUCCUCCUUCAGAUCAAUGAAAGAACUGCUGAAGAUGUCAUUAUUAACUUCAAGUAGGUAUACUGCUCUUCCAGAAAAAGGUGGUUUAUGCAGACUGAAUUAUUUCUGUGAUGUUCUUUUCUUCCAACUAACUUAGCCAGCUCCUUUGUACAUUACCAUCAUUCAUUGGAAUGGGUGGCCAGUGUCCAGCAGCUACAGCUGGAGAAGAGGCAAAACCAUCAUGGCUGUGGCAUCUGCACGUGUGACCACUGCCCAUCUGAGCACUGAGUAACACCCCAGUGUCACAAACAGCUGCAACUAUGUGUGAAUGUGUUUAACAUCGGAUCUACAUCAAUUGCACAGGUUCUGUUUCAUACAGCAGACUGUAAGUAAAAUCAACAGUUCUGAUUUGUGUUAGGAGUUGAGAGCUGCUGCAAACUGGAUGUUUUAACAUUCCUUUCCUCCCACGGUUGUAGAAUUGUUUGAGUGGGAAGAGACCCUUAAAAGCCAUCAGUUCUGUUUCUUUUAAUGCACAAGGACGCCCACAGCUCUACCAGUGCUCAGAGCCCAUCCCCUGACUGUGGGCAUCUGCAGGAAUGGGGCACCCACCCCUCUGGAGAACUCUGCUGGCACUUCACUGCUCCUAUGGUAAACAUCUUUUUCCUUAUACAAUCUAAAUCUUUCCUCUCUUAUCUUCGAGGCAAUCUCAGUGCAGUCCUUUCAAAUACACUGGAAUAGCAUUUCACAUUCAUUCGCCACCUGGGGUUAAAGCCCGCACUAUCCAUUAAAUGCGCACAUACCCUUGACCCAACGCUUUGUUUCUGGUAUGAAACCACAAGCACAGUGAUCAGCUGUGUCUGCUCCUAAUGUAUGAAGCGUUUGAGUUGAUUACAUGCUUUAAAAAACAAAACAAAACUGGCAAAUUGUUUUGAAGUGUGCACUUAUGUGAGACACAGAAAAUACAUCCUCAAGAACAGGUUGACAUUGCACAAGAAGUGAGCAGGAAGGAGAGUGCUGGCUUCUGAGAGAGGUAACAAAUGGGGUAAUGGUAUUCACGUGUUAUUUCUUACAUUUUUCUACAGACAGAGCAUGUCCACAACAAGGAGAUAAUAAAUCAAGCUUUUUUGUUGUUGUUUUGUUUUGUUUUUUUGUUUUGUAGUUGGGCACGAGCACAUCAGAGAAAAACGUAAAGAAACUUGACCUCUGUGUUCCCUGUCCCAGCUUAGAUGUUGCUGUGGCCUGUGCAUCAUCAGCACCACCCAAUGGUGCCUGUUCUUCUUUCUUUCCCUUUUUUCUGCUGCUCCCACAAAGUUCCAUGUCACUGAACGCAUCUUGUCCAUAGUGCUGAUGUCUUUUCUUCCUGAGGACAACAGCAAAGUGGUCCUAUUCUUCCAAUGCUUCGGUCCCAGCUGAGAGAUUCCAGCCUAUUUCUUGGACCAUGGUCUGUGAUUCUAUUUAGUUAUGGAUGCUGCAGUCACUUCCCUACUGCUUGUGAUGCUCCUGCCAGCCCUCUGCAGCCUCUCCAAUGAAACAGCUUCUGUGAUUCUUCCCUUCACCUGUUUCCACCAUUAAUGGAAGUCUAUUCUUUCCCUGAUCCGCUGAUGAGUUAUUUCCUUUGAGGAAUUAAGAUCAAGAGCACAGCUCAUGGAAUGUGGCAGUCUGCUUUCUGUCCCGAGGAGCUGUGUGUGAGUAGUGCAUUGUCAGGAUUUAAUUGCAGCUUAUUCUUAGCCUCGUCUCAGCAGCUCUCAGGAUUUUGAUUGAAGGCAGAGGUAAGAGGGCAUCAGGGAAGGCAGACAAAUGAAGUCUCUACAUGCAAAACAGAGAGAGCUCGAUAACCCUCAGAAAGCACAAAUCCCCCUGUGUGGAAUUCCUUUUAUUUAUUUUUUUUAAGGUUGUCACAGCACAAUUGAUACCAAAUUCAUUUUUUUGCACAGGUCUCAACUUAACUCUCCUGGCUGAUAAAAUCAUGAAACGAGAUCAAACCAGAUUUUCAUCACGGCAACCUUUAAAAGAGGAUGAGAAAGAGGAUCCGUAUGGGAAUUGCUGCAGGAGGAAGCUGUAACUUGGCAUGGUGGAUGAAUGCAGCGUAAUCAAAUGCUAUGAACAAAAUUAUCAUUAAUAAAGAGAGAUUUGACACUUGGCUGAAUCAGAGUGCACAAGUAAUAAUAAACUGGAGGAAUGAAAGCUGAUGUAUUGAGCAGAUUCUCCUGGAAAACACAGGAAAAAAUAGAGGAGUAUGGAGGCAACAAGGCUGGGGCAAGGAGGAGGAACAAAAAGCAGGUGAGGAGA